AGGUUUAAAAACGGUCGUCACUCAGCUUUCCCGGAUCAGAUAUGGCUGAACAUAGCUGAAUGGAAUAACUUGACUUAAACUGACAAUCGGGACACUUUUGAAUCCAAAUGAAACCCAACUCUGGAAUCGGACUCAAAACAAAUUUCGGGGAAAGCUGAAGAAGGCAAUAUGCUGAAACGCCAUCCUUUAUGUGACUACCCCUGCUAUGGACCAAUAAAUCUAUGUGAUGUUGCAUCUUUGGACAAUCGGGACACUUUUGAAUCCAAAUGAAACCCAACUCUGGAAUCGGACUCAAAACAAAUUUGGGGGAAGGCUGAAGAAGGCAAUAUGCCUAAAUGCGUCCAUUAAUGUGACUACCCCUGCUAUGGAUCAAUAAAUCUAUGUGAUGUUGCAUCAUUGGUGAGUGCUGGGUAUUUGUUCUACUUUCAGGACAA